ACCCUACGGGGGGCAGCAGUGAGGGAUAUUGGUCAAUGGGGGAAACCCUGAACCAGCAACGCCGCGUGAGGGAAGACGGUUUUCGGAUUGUAAACCUCUGUCCUCUGUGAAGAUAAUGACGGUAGCAGAGGAGGAAGCUCCGGCUAACUACGUGCCAGCAGCCGCGGUAAUACGUAGGGGGCGAGCGUUAUCCGGAUUUACUGGGUGUAAAGGGAGCGUAGACGGUUCUGCAAGUCUAAAGUGAAAGCCCGUGGCUUAACCGCGGAACGGCUUUGGAAACUGUGGAACUGGAGUGCUGGAGAGGG
rnacentral:rRNA from 1 species